GAGUUUGAUCCUGGCUCAGGAUGAACGCUGGCGGCGUGCCUAAUACAUGCAAGUCGAGCGAACAGAUAAGGAGCUUGCUCCUUUGACGUUAGCGGCGGACGGGUGAGUAACACGUGGGUAACCUACCUAUAAGACUGGAAUAACUCCGGGAAACCGGGGCUAAUGCCGGAUAAUAUUUAGAACCGCAUGGUUCUAAAGUGAAAGAUGGUUUUACUAUCACUUAUAGAUGGACCCGCGCCGUAUUAGCUAGUUGGUGGGGUAAUGGCUUACCAAGGCAACGAUACGUAGCCGACCUGAGAGGGUGAUCGGCCACACUGGAACUGAGACACGGUCCAGACUCCUACGGGAGGCAGCAGUAGGGAAUCUUCCGCAAUGGGCGAAAGCCUGACGGAGCAACGCCGCGUGAGUGAUGAAGGUCUUCGGAUCGUAAAACUCUGUUAUUAGGGAAGAACAAAUGUGUAAGUAACUGUGCACAUCUUGACGGU
rnacentral:rRNA from 1 species